UGAGUAAUCUGCCCUCCACUUUGGGAUAGCCACCGGAAACGGUGAUUAAUACCGGAUAUGACCUCGCAUCGCAUGGUGUGUGGUGGAAAGUUUUUCGGUGGGGGAUGUGCUCGCGGCCUAUCAGCUUGAUGGUGGGGUAAUGGCCUACCAUGGCUUCGACGGGUAGCCGGCCUGAGAGGGUGACCGGCCACACUGGGACUGAGACACGGCCCAGACUCCUACGGGAGGCAGCAGUGGGGAAUAUUGGACAAUGGGCGGAAGCCUGAUCCAGCAACGCCGCGUGAGGGAUGACGGCCUUCGGGUUGUAAACCUCUUUCAGCACAGACGAAGCGAAAGUGACGGUAUGUGCAGAAGAAGCACCGGCCAACUACGUGCCAGCAGCCGCGGUAAUACGUAGGGUGCGAGCGUUGUCCGGAAUUAUUGGGCGUAAAGGGCUCGUAGGCGGUUUGUCGCGUCGGGAGUGAAAACACACAGCUUAACUGUGUGCUGGCUUCCGAUACGGGCAGACUAGAGGUAUGCAGGGGAGAA
rnacentral:rRNA from 1 species